GUGGAAUGAUGAACUUGUUUAUCCAUUCGCUGAGCGCUGCUGGUUCUCUCCCUCGGCCGCCUUGUGGUCCGUUCUGGGCCGCAGGGUUACGGUCAUCAGGUCCUGCUCGGCUGGUCCAAUGUUCUGUUGGGUCAGUCGCUGUAGGGUCUGAUGGCUGGUGCGAGGGAUCAGGCCAGCUCUGACAAAGACGAAUAGACAUAUCUGAUCAC